rnacentral:tRNA from 115 species
GGCGGAUGUAGCCAAGUGGAUCAAGGCAGUGGAUUUGUG